rnacentral:rRNA from 1 species
UACGGGGGGAGCAAGCGUUGUUCGGAUUUACUGGGCGUAAAGGGCGCGUAGGCGGCCACCGCAAGUCGACUGUGAAAUCUCCGGGCUUAACCCGGAAAGGUCAGCCGAUACUGCGGGGCUAGAGUGCGGAAGGGGCAACUGGAAUUCUUGGUGUAGCGGUGAAAUGCGUAGAUAUCAAGAGGAACACCUGCGGCGAAGGCGGGUUGCUGGGCCGACACUGACGCUGAGGCGCGAAAGCCAGGGGAGCGAACGGG